CUGAUACUCCCUCCGUCCGAAAAUACUUGUCAUCAAAAUGGAUAAAAUGGGAUGUAUCUAGAACUAAAAUACGUCUAGAUAUAUCCCUUUUGUUCAUUUUGAUGAUAAGUAUUUUCAGACGGAGGGAGUACCUC
rfam:Triticum aestivum genome assembly, contig: Triticum_aestivum_CS42_TGACv1_scaffold_212261_3AS